GACAGAGGUCCCGAGCGUUAGGCGGAAUCACUGGGCUUAAAGCGUGUGUAGGCGGUUUUGUAAGUACCUUGUGAAAUCCCACGGCUUAACCGUGGAACUGCUUGGUAUACUGCUUAUCUUGAGCCACUUAGGGGCAACCGGAACAAACGGUGGAGCGGUGAAAUGCGCAGAUAUCAGGAGGAACACCGGUGGCGAAGGCGGGUCUCUGGGCCGAGAUUGACGCUGAGGCGCGAAAGCCAGGGGAGCAAACGGG
rnacentral:rRNA from 1 species